UUGACAUCUAGCAAUGUGUCAGGGCAAUACAUGUGACGGGAAAUGUCACGUGGUAUGACAAAACCAAAAUCGUUCGUUUAUCAUGGAACUAUUAUCCCUUCGUCAAUACGAUCCGAUCAAUUACGAGAUAUGGAAUUGUGUCAAUCUCGAUCAUCGAUCAUAUCUUUCAUUCCACUAUUAAAUCAAUAUAAAUCGAAAACUCCUUUUCGACUUAUGAGUACACCUUGGCCAAGGAUUUCAUCAUCGACUUAAUUGAAUGAAACGCAGAUCAUCUCCUACUAUCUAAGAGUGACGAAUCCUUUAUUGAUCAAUCACAACCUUCAUACGAUUCUUGACGUACCCGAACGAUGUCGUAUUAGCGGCCCCUUUCAGAGCAACAUCCAACACCGCCAAAGUAUGACUGUCCUCAUAUAGGGUACUAUGACGACCUCAAGUCAAAGGAUCAAUCCCACUACCGAACGUUAGAGAUUAGCCACUGACACUCAGA
rnacentral:lncRNA from 1 species